rnacentral:lncRNA from 1 species
CAGGAAACAACAAGAGUUUUCUUAACACUAAAGAUCUCAAAAAGAGAACCUUAGACUAGAGAGCAGUAAACUCCCUUGAGUCCCUCUUGAAGUGAGUAUAAAGUCUUUGUAUUCAAUUGGAGAUUGAAAAGAAUUGGACUAUAUCAGACCCAGGUGUAAAAGGAACUUUUGUAUUAUAUGUGUUAGCUGUGGAGUGUUUCACUGAGACAGAUGCUGCUGCCAGGGUUCAUUCGUCUGAGUCUCAUGUUAAUGUUGGCCACUUACUCAAACGGCCAAAACUGGACCAUCACUGUCAACAGCAGUCAACAGGCAAGGGCAGGCUCAGACAUAACGGUUAAUUGCACGUUUACCUACCCAGAAAGCCUCCACACCAAUGACAUCAAAGUAACCUGGAAAAAAAAUGGGAAAACAGAUACAUGUACAAAAGGUGACCCGGACAAGCAAACAUUUAUUUUUCAUCCCAAUGAUACAUGUGUGGACGCUGAGUACAGAGGAAGGACCAAGAUCAUCGGAGACCAAACCAAAAGAAACUGCACCCUCCAGAUCAAGAACGUCACGAAGAACGUAUUAAUAUAUAUGAGAGUUUACAACAAAGACAAAUACAGUUUUCGUAAAGUCCCUGUUUCCAUUGCAGUGAUUGAUGAUGCAGCCGUCACACCCAACCCAAAUGUCAAAACGUUCACAGGGAUGACAACUAUUCCCAGCUUUCAGACCGUAGAAGUAUCUUCAGGUAGUGAGAAUCUAAACCAGGAAACAUUGUAUGUGGGCAUCUUUGUACCAGCCGCCGCACUGGUGAUCAUCCUCAUUGUAGUCGGAGUUUUCGUUCACAUAAAACGCAAAAGGUCACUGACUUUAACCAGAGAAGGUUCUGGUUACUACGCUAACUUUAGCCGAGCUUCAGCAGACAUACCAAAGAAAGAGUCAUUCUCCAACAAACAAGAUACAACAAUCGAUGAACCCGAAGCUAAAAAUGAGCCUAUUUACAUCAACUAUGAGGCUCCAACUGCUGAAAAUAACCAAUGUGAGGAUCCCACAGAGAACUUAUAUGGAAACGUGAAUUAUUUGAAAAAUUAAGUUGGCUUUAAUGUACUUCUGUACUAUUCUUUAAGACCCACCCAUGGCCCUUAUUUUGGUUGAUAUACAGGUUGAUUUUCAUGUUAUGCGAUACAGAUGGCCAAAUACACAUCAGCAGAAUUGCGUAAACUCGACAAACAUUAUUUUUAAAACUGCUCCCACUUUCUCACACAUGAUUGUAUUUAUUUAAAGUGUCUGAACUGCAGGCUUUCAGUUACUGCAAAAAAAUACUCUGCCAAUGCAUUCUACAGGAAAUUUAAAUAGGAAAAUGUAUUUAUUUUUUUAAUAAAAGCCAGUUUUCUAUAUUGUGUAGUUUUGCA